GAAAACUCUGGAAAACCCCUGGGAAAAACCUUGGGAAAACCCUGGGGAAACCCUGGGAAGAUUCUGGGGAAAACCUGGGAAAAUCCUGGGAAAAAUCCUGGGAAAACCCUGGGGAAAACCUGGAAGAACCCUGGGAAAAUCCCUGGGAAAAAUAAUGGGGAAAAUCCUGGGAAAAACCCUGGGAAAACUCUGGGAAAAGUCUGGGAAAACCCUGGGAAAACCCUGGGAAAACCCUGGGAAAACCUGGAAGAACCCUGGGAAAAUCCCUGGGAAAAAAUCCUGGGAAAAUCCUGGGGAAAACCCCUGGGAAAAAGCCUGGGAAAACCUGGGAAAAACCCUGGGAAAAUUCUGGGAAAAAGUCUGGGAAGAACCCUGAGAAAACCCUGGAAAACCCCUGGGAAAAACCUUGGGAAAACCCUGGGAAAACCCUGGGGAAAACCUGGGAAAAUCCUGGGAAAAAUCCUGGGAAAACCCUGGGAAAACCCCGGGGAAAACCCGGGAGAACCCUGGGAAAGUCCCUGGGAAAAUCCUGGGGAAAACCCCUGGGAAAAAGCCUGGGAAAAAGCCUGGGAAAAACCUGGGAAAACUCUGGGAAAACCUGGGAAAAACCUGGGAAAAUUCUGGGAAAACCUUGGGAAAAGCCUGGAAAACCCUGGGAAAAUCCUGGGACAACACCUGGAAAAACCCUGGGAAAAACCUGGGGAAACCCUGGGGAAAAUCUGGGAAAAAACCUGGGAAAACUCUGGGAAAACCCUGGGAAAAACCUUGGAAAAACCUUGGGAAAACGGGGACACCCCUUGGGAUGGUGGCCGGGUUCCUCCAGGAGGAGCUGGGGACACCCCAAGGGUGGUGACACCAAGACCUUGGAGGUCAUCGUGGUUGUUGUCCGGUUCUGGGUGUCCCAUGGCAACAGGGGACAGCCCCAGAUUUUGGGGUCACCAGGACUGGAACAUUCAGAUCCUACAGGGGGGCACUGGGGACACCCCAAGGUUGGUGACACCAAGACCUCUGAGGUUGUUGUCCGGUUCUGGGUGUCCCAUGGCAACAGGGGACAUCCCCCAGAUGUUGGUGUCCCCCCCCCAGAUGUUGAUGUCCCUCAGAUGUUUGGUGUCCCCGAGAUCUUGGUGUCCCCCAAAUUUUGGUAUCCCCCAGAUGUUGUUGUCCCCCCAGUUGUUGGUGUCCCCCCAGACUUCGGUGUCCCCCCAGGUUUUGGUGUCCCCCCGGUUUUGGGGUGCCCCUGACCCCGCCCCCUCUCUCCGCAGCCACCGGAAUGUUCUUCGGCUCCGCCCCCAGCCCCAU
rnacentral:lncRNA from 1 species